GCCACUUGCCCCCUUGGACUAGCGCGGAUCCCACUGAUUCUCAUUCAGAGCUAGAUGCCCAGAUCAGCCCUGGAAGAGCAUCAUCAGAGUUUUGAGAGGGAAGCAUUGUUUUCCUGCCUUGGACAUGU
rnacentral:snoRNA from 1 species